GGGAAGCUUCGCUCUCUUCGGGUCAAGCGUUCGUGUGUGCGAUUGCGAAAUCCAAAUCGAGACAACAGUGCCUUGCACCCAUAAAAUCACGGGGACGUGCCACGCAACUAGAAAAAUAAUGAAGGGAGCACCGGCUUUAUCGCCCGUAGAUUGAAAAGGCGCGUUACCAGGAUUGACUAUGGACUUCCAUCAUCCCUGUUCGCGGUCCCUGAGGAGUUGAGUCAACCCUCCGCAACUGACUCACACGCACUCACGCAGCAAGAAAUCGACUCCUCGGGAUGCAGGAGCCGGAUGCAGCGGACGAUGCACGAGCACACUAUGACGGUUACCUAACGUGUCAAUUAACUUUACUGCCUCCGUUCGAUGGUUAUAAUUUGUACGUCGUGUGUCGGCCACCCCUCACGUCCCCACAAGAUCGAAAUUCUCUCCUUUGCUUCUAACCAUGGACGUCGGGCUUUAUAUUCAAAACUUCAACAUAACAAUUUGUCGGGUAUUACGUAAAUCAUUCUCAAUGGCCACAGUUAAUCAAACUGCUUUAGCAACUAUAGUUAGUGGUGGACCAAUGGGGAAAUGUAGCGUUUGAAGGUAGAGAUUAUCAUGAUCGCAUCCAACCAACCAGACUAAUAAGAAUAAUUGAUAAAGCAACAUGUUCAACAAGACUUGGUACCGAGCUUUAAUUAAAAAGGAUUAAAUAUAAAAAUUUAUUCUAUAUAUUCAAUGUGAAGAGAAAUG